rnacentral:rRNA from 1 species
UACGGAGGGUGCAAGCGUUAUUCGGAUUCACUGGGUUUAAAGGGCGCGUAGGUGGCUUUGUAAGUCAGUGGUGAAAUGCCGCAGCUCAACUGCGGAACUGCCAUUGAUACUGCUUAGCUUGAAUCACGUCGAGGUGGAUGGAAUAUUACAUGUAGCGGUGAAAUGCUUAGAUAUGUAAUAGAACACCGAUUGCGAAGGCAGUUCACUAGGCGUGUAUUGACACUGAGGCACGAAAGCGUGGGGAUCAAACAGG